GGGGAUGUGGCUCAGUGGUAGAGUACUUGCCUAGCAUGCACAAGGCUCUGAGUUCAAUCCCCAGUAGUACCA
rnacentral:tRNA from 1 species